rnacentral:lncRNA from 1 species
CGUAUUCUAAAUCUUUCUAUUCCUCCUUCUCUUUCUCUUUCUCGUUCUCUCUCUAUUCUUCUCGGUCUCUUCUUCUCUCUUAAUAAAAAAAUUCUAGAUCUUUACUCCAGGUUUACUCCAGGUAGAAGCACAAAGGAGGAUGUUAUGUUUCUUCUUCAUCCUUGACAUGGUGUAAAGAAGAAAUUAAACAAAUCCCAGAUUUCUGAAAAAUUAUAAAAACCAGAUCAGAA